rnacentral:rRNA from 1 species
UACAGAGGUCUCAAGCGUUGUUCGGAUUCAUUGGGCGUAAAGGGUGUGUAGGUGGCGCCGUAAGUCGGGUGUGAAAUUUCGGAGCUUAACUCCGAAACUGCAUUCGAUACUGCGGUGCUUGAGGACUGGAGAGGAGACUGGAAUUCAUGGUGUAGCAGUGAAAUGCGCAGAUAUCAGGAGGAACACCAAUAGCGAAGGCAGCUCGCUGGGACGUUACUGACACUAAGGCGCGAAAGCGUGGGGAGCGAACAGG